GGAAACUGGACAUAACUGUGACUUGUGUGCCUGGCUCUGAAUAAUCAGUUAGGCCAGUGAAAUGGGAGUCUCUCUGUGUGUCUGGAAUUUGAACUGAGACCCUAAGUUGGGACCACUCAGAAGUCUGGGAGACUCAAGAGUGAGGUGGCCAUUACAGAGCCACACACAGCACAAGGUAUUAAGUCAGGAGAAACUGAGGCAGCCAGACAGACGGGGAAGGGAGCAGGGCACAGAAAAAACCAAUGAGGAGAGAUACCCAGGGGAGAGGCCAGAGCUGCCUGAUCAAGGACGAUGCCCACCUCCAGGACAGGGACUCUUAAAGUCUGCCCAGGGAUGGCAGGGCUGCCAUGGAGCAGUAUCCCCUGAGAUAUGGCUCUCAUUUUUCUGCUUUCCUACUGGUGUGUUUUUUUGCCACUCUCUAGCCCUGGCUGUACCACUGAGGACUGAAUUUUAACAGGCAGCAGGAAACUGGGAUUCUUAGGUUGCAGGUCACUGGAUCAAGAGGCACCACAUCUACGUGUGAAGCAGGGAUUACUGCCCCUCACUGCUGAUAUGGGAUGCCAACAUACCGCCCUGAGACCCUGCACCUGAGGACGAUGCUGCCCCUGGGGCGGAUCUAGGGCUGCGUUCCCUGGGGAGGGAUGAGGUACUUUGCUUGCAGGAGGGAGAAUGAGCCGGAAGCCAUCAGUAGUCAGGAAUGUGCCCUUUCAGUGUCCCUAGCUCCUGACUUCUGGGCACCUGGUGGGAUUGCACUUUCUGCCUCUUUUGCUUGGGUGGGGCUGUGUGAUAGAUCCCACCAGUGAGCUGUGAGU
rnacentral:lncRNA from 1 species